AUACAGAGGGUGCGAGCGUUAUUCGGAAUCACUGGGCGUAAAGGACGCGUAGGCGGGUUGGCAAGUCAGAUGUGAAAUCCUACAGCUUAACUGUAGAACUGCAUUUGAAACUGCUAACCUAGAGUAUGGGAGGGGGAGAUGGAAUUAGUGGUGUAGGGGUAAAAUCCGUAGAUAUCACUAGGAAUACCGAAAGCGAAGGCGAUCUCCUGGAACAUAACUGACGCUAAGGCGUGAAAGCGUGGGGAGCAAACAGGAUUAGAAACCCCUGUAGUCC
rnacentral:rRNA from 1 species